GAUGAACGCUGGCGGCGUGCCUAGUACAUGCAAGUCGAGCGAACGGACGAGAAGCUUGCUUCUCUGAUGUUAGCGGCGGACGGGUGAGUAACACGUGGAUAACCUACCUAUAAGACUGGGAUAACUUCGGGAAACCGGAGCUAAUACCGGAUAAUAUUUUGAACCGCAUGGUUCAAAAGUGAAAGACGGUCUUGCUGUCACUUAUAGAUGGAUCCGCGCUGCAUUAGCUAGUUGGUAAGGUAACGGCUUACCAAGGCAAUGAUGCAUAGCCGACCUGAGAGGGUGAUCGGCCACACUGGAACUGAGACACGGUCCAGACUCCUACGGGAGGCAGCAGUAGGGAAUCUUCCGCAAUGGGCGAAAGCCUGACGGAGCAACGCCGCGUGAGUGAUGAAGGUCUUCGGAUCGUAAAACUCUGUUAUUAGGGAAGAACAUAUGUGUAAGUAACUGUGCACAUCUUGACGGUACCUAAUCAGAAAGCCACGGCUAACUACGUGCCAGCAGCCGCGGUAAUACGUAGGUGGCAAGCGUUAUCCGGAAUUAUUGGGCGUAAAGCGCGCGUAGGCGGUUUUUUAAGUCUGAUGUGAAAGCCCACGGCUCAACCGUGGAGGGUCAUUGGAAACUGGAAAACUUGAGUGCAGAAGAGGAAAGUGGAAUUCCAUGUGUAGCGGUGAAAUGCGCAGAGAUAUGGAGGAACACCAGUGGCGAAGGCGACUUUCUGGUCUGUAACUGACGCUGAUGUGCGAAAGCGUGGGGAUCAGACAGGAUUAGAUACCCUGGUAGUCCACGCCGUAAACGAUGAGUGCUAAGUGUUAGGGGGUUUCCGCCCCUUAGUGCUGCAGCUAACGCAUUAAGCACUCCGCCUGGGGAGUACGACCGCAAGGUUGAAACUCAAAGGAAUUGACGGGGACCCGCACAAGCGGUGGAGCAUGUGGUUUAAUUCGAAGCAACGCGAAGAACCUUACCAAAUCUUGACAUCCUUUGACAACUCUAGAGAUAGAGCCUUCCCCUUCGGGGGACAAAGUGACAGGUGGUGCAUGGUUGUCGUCAGCUCGUGUCGUGAGAUGUUGGGUUAAGUCCCGCAACGAGCGCAACCCUUAAGCUUAGUUGCCAUCAUUAAGUUGGGCACUCUAAGUUGACUGCCGGUGACAAACCGGAGGAAGGUGGGGAUGACGUCAAAUCAUCAUGCCCCUUAUGAUUUGGGCUACACACGUGCUACAAUGGACAAUACAAAGGGCAGCGAAACCGCGAGGUCAAGCAAAUCCCAUAAAGUUGUUCUCAGUUCGGAUUGUAGUCUGCAACUCGACUACAUGAAGCUGGAAUCGCUAGUAAUCGUAGAUCAGCAUGCUACGGUGAAUACGUUCCCGGGUCU
rnacentral:rRNA from 1 species